GACGCAAAUAUUACCGGCAAAUAAGCUUUAGCCAGGGAAAGGAAUGUUUUUCUCGGCAAUUGAAAGAAAUUGCCACUGAAGGUGAAUAAUGGAAAGAAGACUUCAGUAAUAUUUUGUUUCUCUCCAAUAUUUUUCACUUUCCAUGUUCCCUCCCUCGAUGAAAAAGAAAAUAUCUCUUCUCCCACUGCCCCAAUCAUCAAACCCCUCUCUGUAAACCAUGAAUACGCAAAGCCCAAAUAAACAUCUUCUCACUCAGUCUCAUCUUUGCCAUUCCACGAUACAAAUUACGAAGAGAAUCAGCUUCCACCACUUUUGAUGCUUUCUGCUAUUAGUGCAACAUUUGGUGUCAUAAUAACACAGUAUGACGAUUCAUCUAAUAAUACCUUGAGUUAUACAAGAUAGUGACAACUUUUAAGGUCAAUACAUUCUGAUGUUCGAAAAUUACGCAUGUGGAAAAUUUUAAUAUGAUGAAGAGUUGCGGAAAUUAUUUGAAGUCAUUAUCGAUAGGAUUGGUUAU